CAUUCACGGAGAGUUUGAUCCUGGCUCAGGACGAACGCUGGCGGCGUGCUUAACACAUGCAAGUCGAACGAUGAACCACCUUCGGGUGGGGAUUAGUGGCGAACGGGUGAGUAACACGUGGGCAAUCUGCCCUUCACUCUGGGACAAGCCCUGGAAACGGGGUCUAAUACCGGAUACUGACCCGCCAAGGCAUCUUGGCGGGUCGAAAGCUCCGGCGGUGAAGGAUGAGCCCGCGGCCUAUCAGCUUGUUGGUGAGGUAAUGGCUCACCAAGGCGACGACGGGUAGCCGGCCUGAGAGGGCGACCGGCCACACUGGGACUG
rnacentral:rRNA from 1 species